rnacentral:tRNA from 1 species
GCUCAGUCAGUUAAGGGUCUGACUCUUGAUUUCAGCUCAGGUCAUGAUCUCAAUCUCACAGUUUGUGAGUUCGAACCCCACAUUGGGCU